AGAGUUUGAUCCUGGCUCAGGAUGAACGCUAGCGGCAGGCCUAAUACAUGCAAGUCGAACGGCAGCGGGUGUAGCAAUACAUGCCGGCGAGUGGCGCACGGGUGCUUUUUUGCGUAUGCAANCCUACCCAUAACUGGGGGAUAGCCCGGAGAAAUUCGGAUUAAUACCCCAUAAUAUAUCGGAUUGGCAUCUUUCUGAUAUUAAAGCUCAGGCGGUUAUGGAUGGGCAUGCGUGACAUUAGUUUGUUGGUGAGGUAACGGCUCACCAAGACUACGAUGUCUAGGGGUUCUGAGAGGAUGAUCCCCCACACUGGUACUGAGACACGGACCAGACUCCUACGGGAGGCAGCAGUAAGGAAUAUUGGGCAAUGGAGGCAACUCUGACCCAGCCAUGCCGCGUGAAGGAUGAAGGCCCUAUGGGUUGUAAACUUCUUUUGUAUGGGAAUAAACGCGGUUACGUGUAACCGUUUGAAUGUACCAUAAGAAUAAGCACCGGCUAACUCCGUGCCAGCAGCCGCGGUAAUACGGAGGGUGCAAGCGUUAUCCGGAUUUAUUGGGUUUAAAGGGAGCGUAGGCGGGAUUGUAAGUCAGUGGUGAGAGCCCGUAG
rnacentral:rRNA from 1 species